CACAAGCGGUGGAGCAUGUGGUUUAAUUCGAUGCAACGCGAAGAACCUUACCAGGUCUUGACAUCUGUGGAACCUUGUUGAAAGAUGAGGGUGCCUUCGGGAGCCACAAGACAGGUGGUGCAUGGUUGUCGUCAGCUCGUGUCGUGAGAUGUUGGGUUAAGUCCCGCAACGAGCGCAACCCUUGCUAUUAGUUGCUAACAUUUAAGGUGAGCACUCUAAUGGGACUGCCUGUGACAAGCAGGAGGAAGGUGGGGAUGACGUCAAAUCAUCAUGCCCUUUAUGACCUGGGCUACACACGUGCUACAAUGGAUGGUACAGAGAGCAGCGAGACCGUGAGGUGGAGCGAAUCUCUUAAAGCCAUUCUCAGUUCGGAUUGGAGUCUGCAACUCGACUCCAUGAAGUCGGAAUCGCUAGUAAUCGCGAAUCAGAACGUCGCGGUGAAUGCGUUCCCGGGCCUU
rnacentral:rRNA from 1 species